CUACCUUUCAUAGCCUCUUGGCUAAGAUCAAGUGUAGUAUCUGUUUUUAUCAGUUCAAUUUUUAUUAUUUUUGUUGUUUUUAAUUUUAAAAUAUGUGAAAUUCAUGAGCCAAA
rnacentral:snRNA from 1 species